AGAGUUUGAUCAUGGCUCAGGACGAACGCUGACGGUGUGCUUUAGGCAUGCAAGUCGAACGAGAAAGCCCUUCGGGGUGAGUAAAGUGGCGAACGGGUGAGUAACACGUGGGCAACCUGCCCCUCGCAGGGGGACAACCGGAGGAAACUCCGGCUAAUACCCCGUAAGUUCUCAGGGUCGCAUGGCCUUGGGAGGAAAGGUAGCUUCGGCCAUCCGGCGAGGGAUGGGCCCGCGGUGCAUUAGCUAGUUGGUGAGGUAACGGCUCACCAAGGCAACGAUGCAUAGCUGGUCUGAGAGGAUGAUCAGCCACACUGGGACUGAGACACGGCCCAGACUCCUACGGGAGGCAGCAGCCAGGAAUCUUGGGCAAUGGGCGAAAGCCUGACCCAGCAACACCGUGUGGGCGAUGAAGGCCUUCGGGUCGUAAAGCCCUGUUGAUAGGGACGAAGGGCAAAGGGUUAAUAGCCCCUAGCCUGACGGUACCUUUCGAGGAAGCCCCGGCUAACUACGUGCUAGCAGCCGCGGUAAUAC
rnacentral:rRNA from 1 species